rnacentral:lncRNA from 1 species
GUCCAAGGUAAGCAUGGACCAUUCCUUCAGGUUGAAGUCAGGUAAGUGUGGACCAUUCCUUCAGGAUGGAAUCAGGUAAGUGUGGAACAUUCCUUCAGAAUACAGCCAGGUAAGCAUGGACUGUUUCUUCACGAUGGGCCCAGGUAAGCAUCGACCAUUCUUUCAGGAUGGAGUCAGGUAUGUGUGGACCAUUCCUUCAGGUUGGAGCAAGGUAAGCAUGGACUGUUUCUUCAGGAUGGGCCCAGGUAAGCAUGGAACAUUCCAUCAGGAUGGAGCCAGGAAAGUGUGUACCAUUCCUUCAGAAUACAGCCAGGUAAGCAUGGACUGUUUCUUCAGGAUUGGCCCAGGUAAGCAUGGACAAUUCCUUCAGGAUGGAGUCAGGUAACUCUGGACCAUUCCUUCAGGAUGGAACCAGGUAAGUGUGGACCAUUCCUUCAGAACACAGCCAGGUAAGCAUGGACUGUUUCUGCAGGAUGGGCCCAGUUAAGCAUGGACCAUUCCUUCAGGAUGGAGCCAGGUAACUGUGGACCAUUCGUUCAGAAUACAGCCAGGUAACCAUGGACUGUUUCUUCAGGAUGGGCCCUGUUAAGUAUGGACCAUUCCUUCAGGAUGGAGUCAAGUAAGUGUGGACCAUUCCUUCAGGAUGGAAUCAGGUAAGUGUGGACCAUUCCUUCAGAUUACAGCCAGGUAAGCAUGGACUGUUUCUUCAGAAUCGGCCCAGGUAAGCAUGGACCAUUCCUUUAGGAUGGAGUCAGAUAAGUGUGGACUAUUCCCUCAGGAUGGAGCAAGGUAAGCAUGGACUGUUUCUUCACGAUGGGCCCAGGAUAGCCUAGACCAUUCCUUCAGGAUGGAGCCAGGAAAGUGUGUACCAUUCUUUCAGAAUACAGCCAGGUAAGCAUGGACUGUUUCUUCACGAUGGGCCCAGGAUAGCCUAGACCAUUCCUUCUGGAUGGAGCCAGGAAAGUGUGUACCAUUCUUUCAGAAUACAGCCAGGUAAGCAUGGACUGUUUCUUCAGGAUGGAGUCAGGUAAGUGUGGACCAUUCCUUCAGGAUGGAGCCAGGUAAGUGUGGGCCAUUCCGUCAGAAUACAGACAGGUAACCAUGGACUGUUUCUUCAGGAUGGGCCCUGUUAAGCAUGGACCAUUCCUUCAGGAUGGAGUCAGGUAAGUGUGGACCAUUCCUUCAAGAUGGAGCAAGGUAAGCAUGGACUCUUUCUUCAGGAUGGGCCCAGGUAAGCAUCGACCAUUCCUUCAGGAUGGAGCCAGGUGAGUGUGGACCAUUCCUUCAGAACACAGCCGGGUAAGCAUGGACUGAUUCUUCAGGAUGUGCCCAGGUAAGCAUGGACCAAUCCUUCAGGAUUGAGCCAGGUGAGUGUGGACCAUUCCUUCAGAACACAUCCAGGUAAGCAUGGACUGUUUCUUCAGGAUGGGCCCAGGUAAGCAUGGACCAUUCCUUCAGGAUGGAGCCAGGUAAUCAGGGACCAUUCCUUCAGAAUACAGCCAGGUAAGCCUGGACUCUUUCUUCAGAAUGGGCCCAGUUAAGCAUGGACCAUUACUUCAGGAUGGAGCCAGGUAAGUGUGGAACAUUCCUGCACAAUACACCCAGGUAAGCAUGGACUGUUUCUUCAGGAUGGGCCCAGGUAAGCAUGGACCAUUCCUUCAGGAUGGAGACAGGUAAGUGUGGACCAUUCCUUCAGGUUGGAAUCAGGUAAGUGUGGACCAUUCCUUCAGAAUACAGCCAGGUAAGCAUGGACUGUUUCUUCAGGAUGGGCCGAGGUAAGCAUGGACCAUUCCUUCAGGAUGGAGUCAGGUAAGUAUGGACCAAUCCUUCAGGAUGGAGCAAGGUAAGCAUGGACUGUUUCUUCAGGAUGGACCCAGGUAAGCCUGGACCAUUCCCUCAGGAUGGAGCCAGGUAAGUGUGGACCAUUCCUUCCGAAUACAGCCAGGUAAGCAUGGACUGUUUCUUCAGGAUGGCCCCAGGUAAGCAUGGACCAAGCCUUCAGGAAGGAGUCAGGUAUGUGUGGACCAUUCCUUCAGGACGGAGCAAGGUAAACAUGGACUGUUUCUUCAGAAUCAGCCCACGUAAGCAUGGAUCAUUCCUUCAGGAUGGAGCCAGGUAAGUGUGGACCAUUCCUUCAGAAUACAGCCAGGUAAGCAUGGACUUUUUCUUCAGGAUGGGCCCAGGUAAGCAUGGACCAUUCCUUCAGGACGGAGCAAGGUAAGUGUGGACCAUUCCUACAUAAUACAGCCAGGUAAGCAUGGACUGUUUCUUCAGGAUGGGCCCAGGUAAGCAUGGACCAUUCCUUCAAGAUGGAGCCAGGUAAUCAGGGACCAUUCCUUCAGAAUACAGCCAGGUAAGCAUGGACUGUUUCUUCAGGAUGGGCCCACGUAAGCAUGGACCAUUCUGUCAGGAUGGAGCCACGUAAGUGUGGACCAUUCCUUCAGAAUACAGUCAGGUAAGGCUGGACUCUUUCCUCAGGAUGGGCCCAGGUGAGCAUGGACCAUUCCUUCAGGAUGGAGUCUGGUAAGUGUGGACCAUUCCUUCAGGUUGGAGCCAGGUAAGCAUGGACUGUUUUUUCACGAUUGGCCCAGGUUAGCAUGGACCAUUCCUUCAGGAUGGAGCCAGAUAAUCAGGGACCAUUCCUUCGGAAUACAGCCAGGUAAGCAUGGACUGUUUUUUCACGAUGGGCCCAGGUAAGCAUGGACCAUUCCUUCAGGAUGAAGCCAGAUAAUCAGGGACCAUUCCUUCAGAAUACAGCCAGGUAAGCCUGGGAUCUAAGCAUGCAUGGACCAUUCCUUCAGAAUACAGCCAGGUAAUCCUGGGGUAUUUCUUCAGGAUGGGCCCACGUAAGCAUGGACCAUUCCUUCAGGAUGGAGCCAGGUAAGUGUGGACCAUUCCUUCAGAAUACAGCCAUGUAAGCAUGGACUGUUUCUUCAGGAUGGGCCCAGGUAAGCAUGGACCAUUCUUUCAGGAUGCAGUCAGGUAUGUGUGGGCCAUUCCUUCAGGAUGGAGCAAGGUAAGCAUGGACUGGUUCUUCAGGAUGGGCCCAGGUAAGCAUGGACCAUUCCUUCAGGAUGGAGCGAGGAAAGUGUGUUCCAUUCCUUCAGAAUACAGCCAGGUAUGCAUGGACUGUUUCUUCAGUAUGGGCCCAGGUAAGCAUGGACCAUUCCUUCAGGAUGGAGGCAGGUGAGUGUGGACCAUUCCUUCAGAAUACAGCCUGGUACGCAUCAGCCAUUCCUUCAUAAUGCAGCCAGGUAAGCAUGGACCAUUCCUUCAGGAUGGAGCCUGCCAAGUGUGGACCAUUCCUUCAGGAUGCAGCCAGGUAAGCAUCAGCCAUUCCUUCAUAAUGCGGCCAGGUAAGCAUGGACCAUUCCUUCAGGAUGCCGCCAGGUAAGCCUGAACCAUUCCUUCAGAACGCAUCCAGGGAAGCAUGGACCAGUUUUUAAGUAUACAGUCAGUUAAUUCUGAUACAUACCCUCAGGAUACAGCCAGGUAAGCAUGAACCAUUCCUUCAGGAUGCCACCAGGUAAGCAUGAACCAUUCCAUCAGGAUGGAGCCAGAUAAGCAUGAACCGUUCCAUCAGGAUGCAGCAAGGUAAACAUGGACUAAUCUGUCAGGAUGCAGUCAGGUAAGCAUGAACCAUUUCUUAAUAGUGGAGUCAGGUAAGCACAUACCAUUCCUUUAGAAUGCAGCCAGUUAAGCAUGGAUCAUUCCUUUAGGAUGUAGCCAGGUAAGCAUGGACCAUUCUUUUAGCAUGGAACCAGGUAAGCAUGGACCAUUCUUUAGCAUGGAACCAGGUAAGCAUGGACCAUUCCUUCAGGAUGAAGCUAGGUAAUAAUGGACCAUUCAUUCAGGAUGCAUCCUGGUAAGUAUGAAUUAUUCCUUCAGGAUGCAACCAGGUAAGUAUGGCCAUUCCUUCAGGAAGGAGCCAGGUAAGCAGGAAACAUUCUUUCAGGAUGGAACAAGGUAAGCAUGCACUAUUCCUUCAGAAAGCAGUGAGGUUAGCAUGGAUCAUUCCUUCAGGAUACAACCAGGUACGUGUGGGCAUUCCUUCAGGAUGUAGCCAGGUAAGCAGGGACCAUUUUUUUCAGGAUGCAGGCAGGAAAGUAUGAACCAUUCCUCGGGAUGCAGCCAGGUAAGUCUGGACACUUCCUUCAGGAUGGAGCCAGGUAAGCAUGAACCAUUUUAUCAGAAUGUGGCCAGGUAAGCAUGAACUUUUCCUUUAGGGUGGAGCCUGGUAAGCAUGGACCACUCCUUCAGGAUUCAUCCAGGUAAGCCUGGACCAUUCCUUUAGGAUGGUGUGAGGUAAGCAUGGACGGUUCCUUCAGGAUGCAGGCAGGUAAGCGUGGACCAUUCCUCCUGGAUACAACCAGGCAAGUAUGAACCAUUCCUUCAAGAUGGAGGCUGGUAGGCAUGGACCACUACUUCAGGAUGCAGGCAGGUAAGUGUGGACCAUUCAUUCAGUAUGGAGCCAGGUAAGUGUGGACCAUUUCUUCAGGAUGGUGCCAGGUAACCAGGGACCAUUCUUUCAGGAUACAGCCAGGAAAGGAUGGACCAUUUUUUAAGGAUACAGCCACAUAAAUACGAUACAUACUUUCAGGAUAAAGCCAGGUAAGCAUGAACCAUUCCUUCAGAAUGCAGCCAUGUAGGCAGAGACCAACCCUUCAGGUUGGAGCCAGGUAAGCAUGAACCAUUCCUCCAUGAUGAAGCCAGUUAAGCAUAGGCAAUUCCUUUAGGAUGCAGCCAGGUAAGCAUGGGCCAUUCUUUCAGAAUGCAGUCAGGUAAGCAUGAACCAUUCCUUCAGGAUCCUGCCAGGUAAGCGUGGACCAUUAUUUCAGGAUGCAGUCAGGUAAGCAUGAACCAUUCCUUCAUGAUCCUGCCACGUAAGCGUGGACCAUUAUUUCGGGAUGCAGUCAGGUAAGCAUGAACCAUUACUUCAGGAUGGAGCCAGGUAGGCAUGGACCAUUCCUUCAUGAUGCAGCCAGGUAAGCAUGAACCAUUACUUCACCGUGGAGUGAGGUAAACAUGAACCAAUCCUUCAUAAUGAAGCCUGGUAAGCAUGGAUCACUCAUUCAGGAUGCAGCCAGGUAAGUACAAAACAUUCCUUCUGGAUGGAGCCAGGUAAGCAUGGACCAUUCUGUCAGGAUGCAGCCAUGUAAGCAUGAACCAUUUCUUCAGGAUGGAGUCAGAUUAAGCAUGUACCAUUUUUUCAGAAUGCAGCCAGGUAACUGUGGACGAUUCCCUCAGGAUGGAGCCAAGUAAGCAUGGACCAUUCUCUCAGCAUGGAGCCAGGUAAGCAUGGACCGUUCCUUAAGAAUGGAGCCAGGUAAGCAUGAACCAUUUCAUCAGGAUGCAGCCAGGUAAGCAUGAACCAUUCUGUCAGGAUAUAGCCAGGUAAGGGUGGACCAUUCUGUCAGGAUACAGCCAGGUAAGCAUGGACCAUUCUUUCAGAUGGUGUCAGGUAAGCAUGAACCAUUCUGUCAGGAUGCAGCCAGGUAAACACGGGCCGUUCCAUCAGGAUGCAGCCCUGUAAGUGUGAACCAUUUCUUAAGAAUGGAGCCAGGUAAGCAGGGACCAUUUUGUCAGGAUGCAGUCAGAAACUAUGAACCAUCCCCUCAGGAUGGAGCCAGGUAAGCAUGGACCAUUCCUUCAGGAUGCAGCCAGGUAAGUAAGAACCAUUCUUUCAGUACAGAAGCAAGCAAGCAUGGACCAUUCCUUCAGGAUGCAGCCAGGUAAACAUAGACCAUUCCUUCAGGAUAGUGCCAGGUAGGUGUGGAUCUUUCCUUCAGGAUGGAGCCAGGUAAGCAUGGACCAUUCCUUCAGGAUGCAGCCAGGUAAGCAUGGACCAUUCCUUCAGGAUAGUGCCAGGUAGGUGUGGAUCUUCCUUCAGGACGGAGCCAGGUAAGCAUGGACCAUUCCUUCAGGAUGCAGCCAGGUAAGCAUGGACCAUUCCUUCAGGAUGCAGCAGGUAGGUGUGGAUCUUUCCUUCAGGACGGAGCCAGGUAAGCAUGGACCAUUCCUUCAGGAUGCAGCCAGGUAAGCAUGGACCAUUCCUUCAGGAUAGUGCCAGGUAGGUGUGGACAUUUCCUUCAGGAUGGAGCCAGGUAAGUGUGGACCAUUCCAUCAGGAUGCAACUUGGUAAGCAUAAGCCAUUUCUUAAGGAUGGAGUCAGAUAAGCAUGUAGCAUUCCUUCUGAAUGCAGCCAGGUAAGUGUGGGCCAUUCCUUCAGGAUGCAGCCAGGUAAGCAUGGACCAUUCCUUCUGGAUGGAGGUAGGUACGUAUGCACCUUUUUUUCAGGAUGGAGUCCGGUAAGCAUGGACCAUUCCUUCAGGAUGGAGCCAGGUAAGCAUGUACUACUUCCUCAGGAUGGAGUCAGAUAAGCAUGGCCCUCUCCUGGAUGCAGCCAGGUAAGCGUGGACCGUUCCUUCAAGAUGGAGCCAUCAAACAUGCAGAUCACCCCACAGCACCCUUGCUCCAGUUGACUGGGUUUGGUAACAUGGUGGCAAAAUCAAAAACUUGUAAACUAGUAGAAAAACGUUUUUUAGCUCAUGAGUCCUCUUCGGGCCAAGCUCAGAAGCUGGUGCCAUUGGUCAGCCUCCCUUCGUGGUUGGAGUUCUUCUCCCACAUCAGCUUCUGCCAGGGCGUGUGCCUGUGCAGCCCGAGUCCAGUGUUCCUGUGAGCUGAACUUGGCAGGGAAGGCUGCUCUGAGGCGGACACCACAGCAACAUCGGUGCCUGGGGAACUUCAGAUCCAAGGGCACCUGAAGACCUAGUUUCCACACGGCUCCCUUCUCCUGUAACCCACCACGAUGUGGGCGGCCUCGAAGAAGGCCCAUGAGCAACAUACCGAGUGCUCCAGGGAAGCGAGAGCACACACCGGGCAGGAUUCACAAUCAAGACAAGGUGAUGAUGGACAGGCAUGCACACAUGAGCACGUGGAGCACACAGUGUGUUUGGCUGCAGGAGAAGAAUCCAGUUUUCAGCAGGUGAAUGCAGAGAAGCCCUGCUGCUCAGGACAAAGAAUGUUUCCAGAAUGAACCAUGUUUGCAGCUCUCCAUUGCCCAGGAUGAGCGGCGUCCCCAGGUGCCUGGCCCUUUUAUCACCCAGGCUGAUGGUACAUCCAGAGGCAGCCAUGGCUCAGCCCCCAAGCAAGGCCAGCAAUGGCCAGGAAGAAGCUUAUUCAAUGGGAUUCUCUGCAGAGUUUUUCUGACUUUCAGCUUGCAGGGAUGUGGGCAUAGAAAACAAGAGGCUGACUUCUCAAUCAAUCGUCACUUAAGGAUGCAGAGCCAGUGGAAGCCCUUUCUUUCAUGACUUUUAGCAUUUUUUCUUCAUUUUCAGAAAAUCCAUACCAUCUCCAUAUAUGCAUGCGCGCGUGAGUGUCCGUCCGCCCCUUAACUGUGGGGUUAAGAAUCAUGUGACUGCUCAUGCUGGAAAAACAAGACAAUUACCAUCAUAAAAGCCCACAUCAUUUACAGAUCUUGGAACUUGAACUUCCUUUAAAAGAUAAAUAUAGUAGUUUACAUUUUG